rnacentral:rRNA from 1 species
UACGUAGGGUGCGAGCGUUGUCCGGAAUUAUUGGGCGUAAAGGGCUCGUAGGCGGUCUGUCACGUCAGGAGUGAAAACUCGGGGCUCAACCCCGAGCCUGCUUCUGAUACGGGCAGACUGGAGGUAUGCAGGGGGAGAACGGAAUUCCUGGUGUAGCGGUGAAAUGCGCAGAUAUCAGGAGGAACACCAAUGGCGAAGGCAGCUCGCUGGGACGUGACUGACGCUGAGACGCGAAAGCGUGGGGAGCAAACAGG